UUUAUAUCAUUAUUUGAUAUGUUUGGUUUAUAUAUUAAUUUAAUCUAUUAUUCAUGAAUAUUGAGUUGUGAAUGUUAGAAGUAGGAACUAAAGUUCAGUUUGCGUUGCACUGGGACACUUUAAUGUGCAACAGGUAAUUAACAGGAGGCGACACAUUUUUCCCUGAUGUGAUGAAAAGAAGUUUUCCCUGUGUCGAGAAGCAAAUGUUUUUAUUUUUUUUAUAUUUUGAACUGGAUAUUUUAAGUACUCAUUUCCCUCUCGGUUAUAUGCGGCCAGCGAGUUCGACGGUGGAUUGUGAUGACGACGAAGCAAUAAAGCCAUCAGUAAUCAGAA